UAUUUGAUAAUAGUUAGCUUAUUCUAGUGCAUGUCAACACCACCUACGAGGUUCGAUUUUAUUUAAAUUUGUAUAUGUAUGAAAUUAGAUAAUAUUUUAUAAGGUUUACUACUAAAGUUUUUAAUCUGGGUUUUUCUCUGAUUGCAUCUGUAAGGAGCCUCUUCUUCCCUCGACAUCUUUUCGACUACCUUACAAAUGGCAACAUCCCUGAUGCCAUUGUCAGCCAAAUGGUUUUCGAGUUCUGGCCUUGUGUCGUGUCUGUCUAUAGCAGGACCCUACUUGAAGAAUCUAGAGCUCCGAAUGGAUGACAUAAUCGAGCACCAGAAUUCCACUGAUAUCCCCUCCAAGUUGGAUUGUCUUAGGGCUGCUCGGAAUUUGGAGUCCCUAAUACUCUGGGGUGUGUUGAUGAUCCAAUCACCGGAAUGGGAUGUCUUCUACAGGCUCAAGAAUCUUGAAAUAGUUGGUGCCAGUUUGAAGAGUUGGCAAUUUCUGAGGCUCUUCGUGCUUGUCCUAAUUGACCCACUUUUUGCUUCUUGGUUGUGAAGGGCUGAGGUCCAUUUUAAUAGAGAACCCUCAUAUUUGGCAGUGUAAGCUUGAACUUUUUGGAGCUGGCAACUGUUCGCUUAUGGUACCUACAAUGGCUCCUGAUAGUCUUACAUUCAGAUUCCUGUUCGUUAUAGUAUGUUGUCCAGUAUUGUCUGAUAAUGGGACAAGUUCAUAUCGUGGACUUUGGGAAACUUGUGGCAUUGGAGACAUUGUCCAUUCGGGGAGUGCAGUGAUGCUGGGAUGCUAUAGGCAAAAUUGUUCAAAUGGUUAGUGAGGUUAAGCACCUAUACAUGAAGGUGGAAUUCACUGGGGAGACUGAUAACCUGCAACCCUUUCCAGAGAUUGAUUUUGUAGACUUCUUUAACAGCCAUCCCAAGCUGGAAACUUUUGAGAUUCAUGGUGCCAUGUUCGCUGCUCUUUGUAAAAUGAACAGCCUGAAAAAUGUUAAGUCAUUCAGUAACGCAAUUCCAGUGUGUUAAUCUUUGGUGGAACUUUAUCUCAAUAGUGCUAACUGGAUUCUUGAUAAGGUAGAGAUGUUGCUGGUAUUGCAGGUUGACUCUGGGUUUAUGAUUCCCCCACCUUGAAAAGGUUGUCGUCACAGUACGAUCACCACGGAAUGCUGAACAAAAAAUGAGCAUGCUGGAUUCAUUGGUAAAGUAUGCAAGGAAUUUAAAUGAAUUUCUUUGAGGCGCCAUAGAAGCGCUGAUGAUUUCUUUGAGGAUAUUAGCAGAUUUGGAAGCAUGAAUUGGGAGAUUGUUUCAAUUGAAUAGGAAUUGUUCGCUCAGCAUUUCCUUUUCUGUUGGGAUACAUCAUUUCUCGGGUUCUAAUUGUUGAUAGAUUUAGUUGUGGAUAACCUUUUCUUACAAUAGAUAUUGUUAAGAAUUCUGGUAUCCUGAUCUUCGAGUACAGAAUGGUUCAGUUGAAUGGCAAAUAUGGCAGUUAAAAUAGCUCAGAUGUAUUUAACACACACACAGACACAGAGAGAGCAUCACAUCCUAUUGCAUUAACUCUUAAUAAUUUAAAGAAAACAGGAAAUGUUUCUCUCAUUAUCUCAAACAGUAAAAGUGUGUGUAAAAAAUUCAUCCUGGUGAAUGAGAAUAUAUUCAAGAGGCAAAAAGUCCUAAGAUUUAAGCUGGCGUCACAAAAUACAAGUAAAUCGAACAAAUCUAGAUUAG